UUUUAUGGGGAAAGGAAAAAUAAUAAGUGGCAGUCGUCGUCGAGCAGUACGACCGUGGUGACUUUGCUUCAGCCAUGGCGGAAACUGCGAAGAAACGAGAAGACAGCGAAAAUGCUCCACUACUACCAGGAGAAUCCAGCAAGGCCUCUUCAGCAUCGGAACCGUCGAGCUCCGGCGGCCCGGCUACGGCCUUCGCCUUUUGGUUUUACUUCACCGUAGCCGUGUCUCUGGUCACUGUGCUGUUCAUUUCACUCCCUCGGAUCGAGCGUACGGAUGAUGUAUCCUGGUUCCUUACCCUUCCGGAUGGCCUCCGUAGUCACUACUCAACAGGGAAGUUCAUUAAGGUUAACCCUGCAGGCGGUGGCGAGCAGAUGCAGGUCUUCGCUGUGGAGCUCGGCAAGAAGGAUGCUGAGACGGUGCUUCUGGUCCACGGUCUAGGGUGCAGCUCCUACUCCUUCAGACGGGUCCUCCGCUCGCUCGCCGCCGUCGGACUCCGGGCCGUCGCCGUUGAUAUGCCGGGCUCCGGCUUCUCUGAUGAGAUUAGUUUGGUGAAUAAUGCUAAAUGGGGAGGUCCGUUUGGAUGUAUCUGUAGCGUAUUUGGAGAGAUUAAGGAGAAAGGCAUCUUUUGGGGUUUCGAUCAGCUAAUCGAAACCGGCGAGAUUCAAGAAAGCCCGACUAGGGUUUCCUCCAGUGAGGAAUUGGAAUAUGGGCCUGCGGAGAUGGGCUUGAUUUUAGGGCAGGUGAUCAAUUCGAUGUCGUUGGCGCCGGUCCAUCUCGUGCUCCAUGAUUCGGCAUUGAUCGCCGGAACGAAUUGGGUGUCGGCGAACGCGGGAUUAGUGAGCAGCCUGACGCUUAUAGAUGCCUCCCCUAAGUCAGCGGCGUUUCCUUCUCCUCUUUUAAGAUUACCAGUCUUGGGUCAUCUUCUUCUGGGUUCGAAGACAGUGUUUGCUGGGUUGCUUAGAUUGUGCUGCGCUAGAUCUGUCGAUGCAGUGGAUGCUGAGGCUUACAGGCUUGUUUUGAAGCGGAAGAAUCGGAGUAUUUCGGUUUUGGCGGCCUGGAGAGCUUUGAACCAUAGUCUUGAUGUGGGUGAAUGGGCUAAUUCUGAGGAGUUAAAAGGAUUGCCUAUCCAAGUGCUGUGGUCCAAUAGCUUGUCGGAUCAAUGGAUUGACGAGGGUCGGAGAGUUACUGCAUCCAUUCCCCAUGCAAAGUUCACUUUCCACUUUGGUGGUCGAUGGCCUCAGGAAGAUGCGGCUGAAGAUAUUAGUGGGAUGAUUGCAGAGUUUGUGUCCUCAAUACCAAAAUCAAUUAAACGGAUUGAGGGAGAUACAGUACCAGAUCACAUGCAGAAAAUGUUUGAAGAAGCAAGCCAUCAAGAUCGCCAUCAUCAUCAUCAUCAUCACCAUGGCCAUGACCAGGACUAUGGACUGGGUUACAUGGAAAUGUAUGGCCUUGGCCAUGGAUGGUGAGUUUGAAUUCUACUGCUGACAUUGGAUCUUUUGGUGACUUUCAAAGAAACAAGGGUAAGAUUCUUAGCAGGCCAAAUACAAAAGCCUGGUGCUAGAGGUAGCUUUCUUCUUGGAUUGCAUGGGUAUUUUUGUGGAGCUCAAGGUAGCGGCGAGUGUAAUCUUUUCUGGUUAGCUUUCUUCAUACUCUCUUAGGCUUCAUUUGAGACGGCUUUCUUGCUGCUUCUUAAAGUAGAUUUCUAGCACAAAAAUUAGAAAGCUGCUUUAAAAAGCAUCAACAUAGCUGUCCCAAAAGAAGCCUUAUUUUCUUUUUCAUUUGGGACUAUUUUCUUGCUGCUUCUUAAAGUAACUUUCUAGCACAAAAAUUAUAUAGCUGCUUUAAGAAGCAUUAAGAUAGCUGUCCCAAAUGAAUCCUUAUUUUUUUUUUCGAUGGCUUGCAGUCAUUGGACAUUGACAUAAAGUCGAUCGUAUAUUGUGUUUAAAAGCUCUUUUAAUGCCAGUUGCUGAGUUUCUUAAGUUAAUCUGAAGCAAUUUUUGGAUAUUUAGUUUCUAUUAUAGAUAGAAGCUAUCUAGAAAUGGAGAAGAAAAGAGAGAAACCUCGCUAAGCUCUAAUGACUCUAGCCCACCCAAUCCUUUAUUGAAAGCUUUUGUGCCAGCUUUCCCACACAGAUGAACUCAGCAACUGCGCAUAGAAAUAAGCUUCAUUUAAGCUUUGUUUUCAAAGAAUUCAUUGUGUUCUGCCAUUAGUGGCAUCCUUUAUAUCCAUUUUCAAAUGAAACUACUGUUACUUUUCUCAUGCACCUGUAGGGUUUUAAAUUUCUUUGUUUCUUCUUCAGAUUUACUGUUUCAGGUUGUUUUCUUCACCUGGACUCCAUUAAUUACCGAUCUCUUUAGCCAUGUGCCUUUGUCUAAUUUACUAAGCUUUUUUGCUUUUCA